rnacentral:lncRNA from 1 species
AUAAGCAAAACCUGGCAAAAUCAACUAGAGUGGAUGGUGCAGCUGUGUGGGGCUUCUGUGGUGAAGGAGCCCUCGUCAUUCACCCCAGGCCAGGGUACUCACCCAGUUGUGGUCGUGCAGCCGGAUGCCUGGACAGAGGAUGCUGGCUUCCGUGUGAUCGGGCAGAUGUGUGAAGCACCUGUGGUAACCCGAGAGUGGGUACUGGACAGUGUGGCCCUCUACCAUUGCCAGGAGCUGGACACCUACCUGGUCCCCCAGGUCGCCCAGAGCUGCUGCUGA